AGUCAAGUAAUUAAGUGCAUGUGGUGGAUGCCUUGGCAGUCAGAGGCGAUGAAAGACGUGAUAGCCUGCGAAAAGCUCCGGGGAGGCGGCAAAUAUCCUUUGAUCCGGAGAUGUCUGAAUGGGGGAACCCACCUACUUUAAGGUAGGUAUUGCAACAUGAAUACAUAGUGUUGCAAGGCGAACGAGGGGAAGUGAAACAUCUCAGUACCCUUAGGAAAAGAAAUCAAUUGAGAUUCCCUCAGUAGCGGCGAGCGAACGGGGAUCAGCCCAUUAAGUUAUGUGUGUUUUAGUGGAACGCUCUGGGAAGUGCGAACGUAGAGGGUGAUAUUCCCGUACACGAAAGGGCACACAUAAUGAUGACGAGUAGGGCGAGGCACGUGAAACCUUGUCUGAAUAUGGGGGGACCAUCCUCCAAGGCUAAAUUACUCCUGACUGACCGAUAGUGAACCAGUACCGUGAGGGAAAGGCGAAAAGAACCCCUGUGAGGGGAGUGAAAUAGAUCCUGAAACCGCAUGCAUACAAGCAGUGGGAGCACCUUCGUGGUGUGACUGCGUACCUUUUGUAUAAUGGGUCAGCGACUUAUAUUCAGUAGCGAGGUUAACCGUAUAGGGGAGCCGUAGAGAAAUCGAGUCUUAAUAGGGCGUUUAGUUGCUGGGUAUAGACCCGAAACCAGGCGAUCUAUCCAUGAGCAGGUUGAAGGUUGGGUAACACUAACUGGAGGACCGAACCCACUGUCGUUGAAAAGCCAGGGGAUGACUUGUGGAUAGGGGUGAAAGGCUAAUCAAGCCUGGUGAUAGCUGGUUCUCCCCGAAAGCUAUUUAGGUAGCGCCUCGGACGAAUACCAUAGGGGGUAGAGCACUGUUUCGGCUAGGGGGUCAUCCCGACUUACCAAACCGAUGCAAACUCCGAAUACCUAUGAGUACUAUCCGGGAGACAGACUGCGGGUGCUAACGUCCGUAGUCAAGAGGAAAACAAUCCAGACCGCCAGCUAAGGCCCCAAAAUCAUAGUUAAGUGGGAAACGAUGUGGGAAGGCAUAGACAGCUAGGAGGUUGGCUUAGAAGCAGCCACCCUUUAAAGAAAGCGUAAUAGCUCACUAGUCGAGUCGGCCUGCGCGGAAGAUGUAACGGGGCUAAAACUAUGUGCCGAAGCUGCGGAUGUAUACUUUGUAUACGUGGUAGGGGAGCGUUCUGUAAGCCGAUGAAGGUGUGUUGAGAAGCAUGCUGGAGGUAUCAGAAGUGCGAAUGCUGACGUGAGUAACGACAAAACGGGUGAAAAACCCGUUCGCCGAAAGACCAAGGGUUCCAGUCCAACGUUAAUCGGGGCUGGGUGAGUCGACCCCUAAGGCGAGGCCGAAAGGCGUAGUCGAUGGGAAAAUGGUUAAUAUUCCAUUACUUCUGUGUAAUGCGAUGAGAGGACGGAGAAGGCUAAAUCAGCCUGGCGUUGGUUGUCCAGGUGAAAGGAUGUAGGCAUGUAUCUUAGGCAAAUCCGGGGUACUCUAUGCUGAGAUCUGAUAGCAAGCUGUACUUGUACAGCGAAGUGGUUGAUGCCAUGCUUCCAGGAAAAGUCUCUAAGCUUCAGUUACACAGGAAUCGUACCCGAAACCGACACAGGUGGUCAGGUCGAGUAGACCAAGGCGCUUGAGAGAACUCUGCUGAAGGAACUAGGCAAAAUGGUACCGUAACUUCGGGAGAAGGUACGCUGUUGUUGGUGAUGGAACUCGCUUCCUGAGCUGACGACAGCCGCAGAAACCAGGCCGCUGCAACUGUUUAUUAAAACAUAGCACUCUGCAAACACGAAAGUGGACGUAUAGGGUGUGAUGCCUGCCCGGUGCUGGAAGGUUAAUUGAUGGGGUUAGCGUAAGCGAAGCUCUUGAUCGAAGCCCCAGUAAACGGCGGCCGUAACUAUAACGGUCCUAAGGUAGCGAAAUUCCUUGUCGGGUAAGUUCCGACCUGCACGAAUGGCAUAAUGAUGGCGGCGCUGUCUCCAGCAGAGGCUCAGUGAAAUCGAAAUCGCUGUGAAGAUGCAGUGUACCCGCGGCUAGACGGAAAGACCCCGUGAACCUUUACUGCAGCUUGACACUGAACUUUGACCUUACUUGUGUAGGAUAGGUGGGAGGCUUUGAAGCUGGAACGCUAGUUCCAGUGGAGCCGUCCUUGAAAUACCACCCUGGUAAUGUUGAGGUUCUAACUCUGUCCCGUGAUCCGGGACGAGGACCGUGUCUGGUGGGUAGUUUGACUGGGGCGGUCUCCUCCUAAAGAGUAACGGAGGAGUACGAAGGUGCGCUCAGCGUGGUCGGAAAUCACGCGUAGAGUAUAAAGGCAAAAGCGCGCUUAACUGCGAGACCCACAAGUCGAGCAGGUACGAAAGUAGGUCUUAGUGAUCCGGUGGUUCUGUAUGGAAGGGCCAUCGCUCAACGGAUAAAAGGUACUCUGGGGAUAACAGGCUGAUACCGCCCAAGAGUUCAUAUCGACGGCGGUGUUUGGCACCUCGAUGUCGGCUCAUCUCAUCCUGGGGCUGAAGCAGGUCCCAAGGGUAUGGCUGUUCGCCAUUUAAAGAGGUACGCGAGCUGGGUUUAGAACGUCGUGAGACAGUUCGGUCCCUAUCUACCGUGGGCGCUGGAAAUUUGAGAGGAUCUGCUCCUAGUACGAGAGGACCAGAGUGGACGAACCUCUGGUGUACCGGUUGUGACGCCAGUCGCAUCGCCGGGUAGCUAUGUUCGGAAGGGAUAACCGCUGAAAGCAUCUAAGCGGGAAGCCUACCUCAAGAUAAGAUUUCCCUAGGACUUUAUGUCCUCUAAAGAGCCGUUCGAGACUAGGACGUUGAUAGGUUGGAUGUGGAAGCAUAGUGAUAUGUGAAGCUGACCAAUACUAAUUGCUCGUGAGGCUUGACUAU
rnacentral:rRNA from 1 species